rnacentral:rRNA from 1 species
AUUGAACGCUGGCGGCAGGCCUAACACAUGCAAGUCGAGCGGAUGAAGGGAGCUUGCUCCUGGAUUCAGCGGCGGACGGGUGAGUAAUGCCUAGGAAUCUGCCUGGUAGUGGGGGAUAACGUCCGGAAACGGGCGCUAAUACCGCAUACGUCCUGAGGGAGAAAGUGGGGGAUCUUCGGACCUCACGCUAUCAGAUGAGCCUAGGUCGGAUUAACUAGUUGGUGGGGUAAAGGCCUGCCAAGGCGACGAUCCGUAACUGGUCUGAGAGGAUGAUCAGUCACACUGGAACUGAGACACGGUCCAGACUCCUACGGGAGGCAGCAGUGGGGAAUAUUGGACAAUGGGCGAAAGCCUGAUCCAGCCAUGCCGCGUGUGUGAAGAAGGUCUUCGGAUUGUAAAGCACUUUAAGUUGGGAGGAAGGGCAGUAAGUUAAUACCUUGCUGUUUUGACGUUACCAACAGAAUAAGCACCGGCUAACUUCGUG